AGGACAAACGCUGGCGGCGUGCAUAACACAUGCAAGUCGAACGAGUGCAGCAAUGCACGAGUGGCGGACGGGUGAGGAACACGUGGAUGAUCGACCCAGCGCUGGGGAAUACCCCUGGGAAACCAGGGCUAAUACCGCAUGCGCUCUGCUGUGUCAGACAGCGGAGGAAAGCCUUCGGGCGGCGCUGGACGAGUCUGCGCCCGAUUAGCUCGUUGGCGGGGUAACGGCCCACCAAGGCUGCGAUCGGUAGCUGGUCUGAGAGGAUGAUCAGCCACAUUGGGAUUGAGAACGGCCCAAAUCCCUACGGGGAGCAGCAGUGAGGAAUAUUCGGCAAUGGGCGCAAGCCUGACCGAGCGACGCCGCGUGCGGGACGACGCUUUUCGGAGUGUAAACCGCUUUUCUAUUCGACGAGACAGGACGGUAGAGUAGGAAGAAGUCUCGGCUAACUACGUGCCAGCAGCCGC
rnacentral:rRNA from 1 species